UCAUCAUCAUCAUCAUCAUCAUCAUUAUCAUCAUCAUCAUCAUUUAAAUUCUGCCUUCCAUGCUGGCAUGGGUUGGGCAGUUUGACAGGAACCAGCCAGGCAGGAACCUGCACCAGACUUUUGUGUCUCUUUGUAUAUAUAUAUGU